rnacentral:misc_RNA from 1 species
GAUGAAGAACGCAGCGAAAUGCGAUACUUGGUGUGAAUUGCAGAAUCCCGUGAACCAUCGAGUCUUUGAACGCAAGUUGCGCCCGAAGCCUCGGCUAAGGGCACGUCUGCCUGGGCGUCACGCAUCGCGUCUCCCCCAAACCGCCAAGGCGGAGGGGAUGGAAGAUGGCUUCCCGUGCCUCACCCGGGCGCGGUUGGCCUAAAUUUGGAGCCCGCGGCACUUAGCUCUCGCGGCGAUAGGUGGUGAACAAGGCCUUGGCCGUGCAAACAACCCGCUGCGAAGCUCUAUGUCACGUGCGCUCGUCGGACCCUUUGAAGUUGCCUUUGGUGACUUAAAACCUUUGCGACCCCAGGUCAGGCGGGGCUACCCGCUGAAUUUAAGCAUAUCAAUAAGCGGAGGA